GUGGGGAAUCUUAGACAAUGGGGGAAACCCUGAUCUAGCCAUGCCGCGUGAGCGAUGAAGGCCUUAGGGUUGUAAAGCUCUUUCAGCUGGGAAGAUAAUGACGGUACCAGCAGAAGAAGCCCCGGCUAACUCCGUGCCAGCAGCCGCGGUAAUACGGAGGGGGCUAGCGUUGUUCGGAAUUACUGGGCGUAAAGCGCGCGUAGGCGGACCAGAAAGUUGGAGGUGAAAUCCCAGGGCUCAACCUUGGAACUGCCUUCAAAACUCCUGGUCUGGAGUUCGAGAGAGGUGAGUGGAAUUCCGAGUGUAGAGGUGAAAUUCGUAGAUAUUCGGAGGAACACCAGUGGCGAAGGCGGCUCACUGGCUCGAUACUGACGCUGAGGUGCGAAAGCGUGGGGAGCAAAAGGGAUUAGAUACCCUAGUAGUCC
rnacentral:rRNA from 1 species